AUGGCACCAAAUCCUGGCAUGACGUCAGCCGAGAGGCACGGAGCGCUGUUCAACCAGCACCUCCCCAGCAAAGUCGCUCCGUCCCUGGAAACCAGCAGGAGUUGCGACAGCCAAGCGCUGGUGUUCCCUGAAUUUCAGGCAGCUCCUGCAAAGCAGGGAGGCUGCUCAGACCGACAGAGACCUGGAACAGCAAGAGGAACGGCAGGGACGAGCCUCCAGCUCCUCGGGACCUUCCCAAGGGUGCUGCCAUCCCGACCUGSCCUCCGCUGCCUGCCCCUGCAGGGAUGGGGCGUCUGCACGGGCAGCGCUGGGACGAGGUCGUGGGGGGGGGGGGUUGGAGCUGUCCUCCCCCUCUGCAGCUUUCCUUCCUCUUUCCAGCCCUCGCUGGCCCUCGGCCCCCUCGGUGCCGUCCCCCUUGCUGCCCUGGGCCAGCUCCCGUUUGCUCCCGCGCACGCGUGCCUGCAAAGCCGACCCUUUUAUUGCCCUGUUACGGCUCCCUGGCAGGCGGACAGGAUCGCAAAAGCCGUGCUCACAGGCGGUGAAUUUACUAGCCAUGAAGGUGAAACAGAAAUUCCCAAGUCCCUCGAAGCUUUGGCUCAGCGAGAGCUGGAACAGCAGGUGCCUUUGGAGCAGGAGGAGGAGGAGGAGGAGGAGGAGGAGGAGGAGGAUGCGUGGGGAAGGUCAGUGCAGGCAGGCUCGUCCCCGGUGCCUGAGCCGGCGGGGAAGGGGCGCAGGGGGCACCCGAUUGCCCCCGGGGCUCCCGCCAGCGGCGUGGGAGGUGGGAGGUCGGGGCCAGCCGAGCAUCGCCAUCGCCGCCCCGCACCAGCGGGCUGGCCGGGCGCCGGCGUGCUUAGCUCGUCCUUCGUGCUUCAGACGACGCGGGGCCAUCUGCCCGUCUGCGAGCGCGGCCAAGAGCGUCAGCUGCCACCGCGCAGCCUGCCAGCGCCGCGCGGGAGGGAGGGAGGCAGGCAGAGGAGGGAAGGGGCUGCAGGCGGCGAAGGCAGCGGCGUGCAGAGCCCGAGCCCGAGCCCGAGCCUGAGCCUGAGCCCGAGCCCGAGCCCGGCCCGGCGGCAGCUCUGCCUCCACGGGGCAGCGGGGAUGCGCGCGCACGCACCGGCGCCGCAGGGUGGCUGCACGCCCYGGCCAGGACCCCUCGCCUUGGGGACUCCGGCCUCGAGCCGGACCCUCCGGCUCUGCCCCGUCACGCCUGUCCCCGGAGCUCGUCCCCUCUGCCGCCCGCCCCAGCUCUCCCUUCCCACGAGCACGCACAUAUAUAGGAAUUUAAUGCUGUUUCCUGACAUGGGGCCCAGUCGGGCUAAUCGGCUUGGACGGUGA
rnacentral:lncRNA from 1 species